UCUGACUGCCUUUUCUCUAAAAAAUACUUUCUCAGUUUCAUUGUCAAUGACCUAGCAAAGGUUAGCCAUAAAUCUUUUUCUCAGCAAGGAUGCUGAUAGUUUAAGAGCUUCUCUAAUAAGCAAGGAUGUAUUUCUGAGCUUAUAACCAAAACAGCAUGAUCUUAUCUUCUGAGAAGUAUUAAGAUAAAGCUUUCUAAAUCCAACAGAAGUAAACUUGGAGCUCAGUGAACCACCCACAAUUUUUCUUGGAGAAGAUAGCCUAAGAUUUAUAUAAUUAUAAGGGAGACAGAAACAUGAUCUGAUUUUGUGUCUCCCACAAAGCCCAGAAAUGCAUCAAAAAGAGGAACCGAUGUUACAGAAGACUUUGUGAUGUUUAAACAUCAAGAUUCAUUUAUGGAGCUAUUGUGCUAUACUGCAGUCUUGAAAGACAUCUGAAACUUAUGCAAACUUUCGGAUUUUGUCUUAAUCUAAGAGGUUCUGCCUCUAUCCAUUAACUUGACUCAGCAAACUGAAGAUGUUUGGCUGUCUUGCUGUGGUUACUGCUCAUAUUCACUCUUUCAUGGCAACUGCUGUUCUAUGAAAUGAAAAUAGAAUAAGAUGCUUUAACAUAAUUGCCAUUUUAGACAAGUUUGUUUUCCUUUUAUGUUUAAAAUUGAGAUUAUUUUAACGUUGUAUUUCUCCAUAAUCAUCAUGCCAAUAUGUGAUGUGUUUCUAUGGAAACAGAAGAAAGUAAUAGCUGAGUUCUAGGAAGUCUUGUUCAACUCAGUGACUAAAUCUAACACAAUUCCACUGUGAGUAGACAUAGAUCAAUUUGAAUCCUACCUGAAAAGUGUAAGAAGUUCUUGCUCAUUAAUUAUUUGAAGAGGAUAGAGAAAUACUUUCACUGUAAGGCUCUGGAGAAUUAAAUACCUAUUAAUUUUCAACCUGUGCCAUCCAAAAUACAAUGUUGUAUCUCAUGUUUCUGUUUAGAAUGUAAUUUAAAAUAAUAGAAUGAAAAAAAAAAAGAAGAAGAAAAGCAUAUUACAUAGCUUGUCAUGAUGAUAUGGCAAAGAAUAUUCUAAUUAUCUUGCUUAAGGAAAUCAAUUAGAUAGUUAUACAUAAGCCAGCGAGUAAAACCAACCUUCAUUAGCACCGUGCACUAAAAACCUUUGAAUAUAAAACCAGUAUCCCCCAAAUUAUACAGAAUGUUUAUCACUUUCAACAUUCACAUGAGAUAACACAAAUCUCGGUUCAACUAAAAUUAAAUAUAUGUAAGAGAUACAGGCUAGCUUUGUCUUUGUAGAUAAGAUAGUGGAGCUUAUUUGUUUGAAGAGUUUGCUUAUUUAAUUCUCUAAAAUGAUGAUACGUUUAGCAGGUUAAGGAUACUUGAAUCAAAACAUAUGGCUGCAGUUUUGUUUUCUUUAAAAAUUAAUUUGAAGUGUCAUUUCCUUGCUGAUCUCAAAUGCACAGAGACUAUGAUGAUCAAAAUCUUCCAUGAAUUUCAGAGUGCUUCAGAUGAACUUUUAACAAGUUCAGCUCCCUAAAGUGUUGAAGAAAAUGCACCUGUAAAGACUCUACAUUUCACUGCUUCCCACUUGUAUGCAUGAUUUAAUAAAAUAUGAUAUACAUCUUCA
ensembl:lncRNA